rnacentral:rRNA from 1 species
GAUGCGACCUCAGCUCAGGCGGGGCCACCCGCUGAGUUUAAGCAUAUCAAUAAGCGGAGGAAAAGAAAC